CCGCGGUAAUACGUAGGGGGCGAGCGUUGUCCGGAUUUAUUGGGCGUAAAGGGCGUGUAGGCGGUUUUGUAAGUCAGAGGUGAAAGCCCGGAGCUUAACUCCGGAAUAGCCUUUGAGACUGCAUCGCUUGAAUCCAGGAGAGGUGAGUGGAAUUCCGAGUGUAGAGGUGAAAUUCGUAGAUAUUCGGAAGAACACCAGUGGCGAAGGCGGCUCACUGGACUGGUAUUGACGCUGAGGUGCGAAAGCGUGGGGAGCAAACAGG
rnacentral:rRNA from 1 species